rnacentral:rRNA from 1 species
UACGUAGGGUCCGAGCGUUGUCCGGAAUUAUUGGGCGUAAAGAGCUUGUAGGCGGUUUGUCGCGUCUGCCGUGAAAAUUCGAGGCUCAACCUCGAACUUGCGGUGGGUACGGGCAGACUAGAGUGUGGUAGGGGAGACUGGAAUUCCUGGUGUAGCGGUGAAAUGCGCAGAUAUCAGGAGGAAUACCGAUGGCGAAGGCAGGUCUCUGGGCCACUACUGACGCUGAGAAGCGAAAGCAUGGGGAGCGAACAGG